rnacentral:lncRNA from 1 species
AACUCUGGACUUGGUGGGAUAAACCUUCAUUUCUUUGCAGGGAAAGGUCCACGUCUGCAAAUGAUAAUGUACCUGGAUUGCCCAGAACUUCCAGGGAGGUGGUUCUGAUUCCCCGGGGGCCUUGGGCCCCUUGGUGAAGCUAAUUCAAGCUACAGGCCGUCUCCCCAGGAAAGGACUCAGAGAUCCCCAGGUGCAAAGUCGGCGGAGUCCCAUGGGCCUGAGUCCCUCCUGGGCCCCGGCUUAAAGAGCCCCCUUCUGAGCCCGUGUUCCCCUGACUCGGCGCCAGCAUGGAUGGGGAAACGAGGAAGCCUUGCGUUUCAGUUUCAUAAAGUCGGCUUUGUCACUCUGUGUCUGUUCCCUAUAUGGUUAAAAUCUAUUUUAAGAUUAGAUCAUCUUUAAAUAGAUCUACUUUCUUAGUCUGCUUGGGCUACUGUAGCAAAAAUGCCACAGACUGGGCGGUUUAAACGGCAGAGAUUUAUUCCUCAAGUUCCGAAGGCUGGACGUCAAGGCGCAGCCGAUUUAGCUCCUGAUGAGGUUGUCUUGCCUUCUCUCUGUGUCUCCCCAAGAGACGGGAGGCAGGGAGGGGAGGGAGGGAGAGGAAGAGGCUCUGGGGUCCUUUGCUGCUUCUCUGGAGAACCCCAACUUGCAUGGAUGGCAAAGAGACAGGGGAAGCGCCCCCUCGGGUCUCCCAGCUGGAUUUCCUUCCCUCUGCGGGCGGGACGCCUUCAGUGCUGGAGGCGCCUCGCUGGCGAUCCAUCCACCGGCUCAUGUCUGUUCUGAACGAGCUACCACGAACAUGCACGGACAAGUCUCUGCGUGGACACGUGUUUCCAUUUCUCCGGUAAAGACCCAGGAGCCGGGUUGCUGGGUGGUAGAGCGCAGGCGUCUCUCUCGGGGACCACCGAGCUGUUUUCCUAAAGGGCUGCCCCUCGUGACCCCAUCGGCAAUGCCCCGCGACCCAGGUGUUUGCAUCCCUGCGGGUAUUUGGUUGUGUCUCUGAUUUUGGCCACAUUAGUGGGGGUGGGGGCGGGGUAAGGGGCUCUCAUGGUGGUGUUUUGUUUGUUUGUUUGUUUGCUGCACCUGCAGCAGUUGAAAUUUCCUGGGCCAGGGAUGGCACCUGCACCAUAGCAGCGACCCAAGCCGCUGCAAUGAAAACGCCAGAUCCUUAACCCGCUGAGCAACAGGAAAAUCCCUUACGGUGGUUUUAACGUGCCUUUUCCUAAAGCCCAGUGAUACUGAGCAUCUUUUCAUUGGCUUGUUCCCUGCAUUUCUUUGCUGGAGCAUCUGCUCAAGUCAUUUGCCCAUUAAAAUAAAAACAAACAACAACAACA